UAUAUGCAUUUUCCAAUCAAAAUUUUUAGGUUGUCAUGAGCAUGAAAGACUCGACCUCAACAAAUAAUAAUAAACAAAAAGCUCUACUUCCACUUCCCGCCAAAUAGACACAGGUUGGUGACACUGAAUUCACGCCAAAUAAAUGAAAAAAUAGAACAAUUUUCUUUUUCGUCAAUUUCUUCACGUGAAGUUUAUAACGAACAAACUUAGAUGUCAAAGUGUGCUUUUACACGUCAAAUUUGGCCUUGAAUAACUUGGUCAAUUUCUUGUCCAAUUUAUUGUUGAUGUAAAGUGGACUAUAGGUAUUUAGUCCAUUCCGAAGUUGUAGUUUGUUUUGACAUUUCCGUUUUAUUUAAGGCUAUGGGUACAUAAUUCGCAAAUAUUUUACGUGUAUCCCUACUUUUUCUGUCUUUACACGGCAAAUUACGUGUAGUAAAAUUCACGCUGGUGUGGAUAUGUAAACAUUACUAGAAUGUCAUUCUACUUGAAAAUGUCAUAAUUAAUUUAAAGAGAUGGCUUUUGAAUGUUCUUGGAUAACUGUUAUUUUUAUAAUUGCAAAUUAUUAAUUCAGUUAAUAAAUGUGAUAAUUUUUUCACUAACUAUGUUUUCAGUGAUUGUAAUAAUUUAUUUGUACAACAAAAACUAAUAAUCAAUCGAGAAAAGAGGAAAAGUGUUAAAGUGAUUUUUUAAUAAUAUGUUGUUAUUUUGGAACGCUUACAAUUUUGAACAUCUCUAACAACAAAAUACUUGGAUCACAGGAUAUAUCUGAUGUAUUCUCUGCUUGGAUCUUUCACAAAUAAUACACAAUAAAUAACUUUUUAUUAAGUUCACGUCUUAAAUCAAUUAUUUAUCAAAUACACUAUAUAUCAAUAAUAUUUAAUCAAUUUCUCAAAAUAUUCCCGAUGCAAUGUCAAAUAUUUAAAAUUGUCACUGAUUGUCAGUGUCUGACUGACAAUAUAUGCUGACAAUAUUAUAUUCGGUUGAGUGCGUUGUAAGACAAAGACAGAUUUGGAAAAUAUUACCACGGCAUUGUGUUCAUUUUUUUCAAAUCCUGAAAAAACCAAUAAAUAUUUUUGAAAAAUUUAAACGCAGAAUGAAAGACUAAAUUAUUACCGAGGGCCGAAAGUCCCUUAGAAUAAAUAAAAAGUUUAUUUUGAAUGAGAUAUUUGAAUUUAAAAAUCACACUAAAUUUUCUCUUAGUUUUUUCACCCCUGUAACUUAUUAAAAUAAACAUUGUAGAAGUUCUCAGGGACUUUCGGCCCUCGCUAAUAACGUAAUCUUUCAUUCUGCGUUUAAAUUUUUCCAAAAUACUUAUUAGUUUUCUCAGGAUUUGAAAAAAAUGAAUCCCCAUUUGAAUAGCAUUGCAGCCGAAAAUACGUUCCGAUCCUCUUAACCUAACCUAUGUUUUGUGUUUUAUUGUGUUGUAUACAAGGAGUUGUAGUUGUAUAUUGAAAUUGAAUUGAUUCUUGUUUCAUUGAAUAUAGAGGAGUUGUUCUGUUGCAAGUUGUUCUAGUUUUGUUGUUUUAAAAUCUGCGAAAAACUAUUUAUAGAUAAUGGUGAACUUAAACAAGAAAUGGACAUGCAGUUUGCUGAUUACUUAAUUGUGUACUCACAACACAUAGGAUUUCUCUGACACAGUUUCCAGUACAGAACUGCCACAGGAAUCUCCAGUGGAGUUGCAACCGCUCUCACGGACGUCCACAAAUCAAGUUACAAAACUGUUACAUGACUCUAUUGGAGUUGCAACCGCAAUUGGAUAAAAGUGAAAUUCGAAUAAUGCCAGAAAGACUAUAACCGUCCAAAGUGAUAGUGUGAAAUUAAAAUCAAAUGAUUACGUAUAAAUCAUAUUUAUAAUAAUUAUAAAUAGUAGCUGUAUUUUUUAAAUAAACAGAUUUGAUAAGUUA